rnacentral:rRNA from 1 species
AUGAACGCUGGCGGCGUGCCUAAUACAUGCCAGUCGAGCGAACAGAUGAGGAGCUUGCUCCUCUGACGUUAGCGGCGGACGGGUGAGUAACACGUGGAUAACCUACCUAUAAGGCUGGGAUAACUUCGGGAAACCGGAGCUAAUACCGGAUAAUAUAUUGAACCGCAUGGUUCAAUAGUGAAAGACGGUUUUGCUGUCACUUAUAGAUGGAUCCGCGCCGCAUUAGCUAGUUGGUAAGGUAACGGCUUACCAAGGCAACGAUGCGUAGCCGACCUGAGAGGGUGAUCGGCCACACUGGAACUGAGACACGGUCCAGACUCCUACGGGAGGCAGCAGUAGGGAAUCUUCCGCAAUGGGCGAAAGCCUGACGGAGCAACGCCGCGUGAGUGAUGAAGGUCUUCGGAUCGUAAAACUCUGUUAUUAGGGAAGAACAAAUGUGUAAGUAACUAUGCACGUCUUGACGGUACCUAAUCAGAAAGCCACGGCUAACUACGUG